UUGAUGGAAUGUACCUUACAUGAACUCUAGUAUUCAUGGGACUAGUUCUCAAAUUAAAAAGGAGCUUCAAAGCAGAGCACUUGACAAACUAACUUACCUGAAGGAUAACAAAGGAGAUAUCUGGGAUCCAUGUGGUAGGUUGGGCCCCCAAGUUAGGUUGCAUUCGGAAUUAGAUGGAUGCACGGAAGUGAAGAGAACAUGGCUCAGUGAUCAGCAUCAUGGGUUCUAGACCUGCCUCUGGUGUGAAUUAGCUCUUAAGGUUUUUAGGGGCCUCAGUUUCCUCCUCUGUAAAACAAAAGUUGGGAAGAAAGUUCUAAGGUUCCUCCUUUUACAAUCUAGGCAGCGUUCAGUCAAUGAUCCCUCUGUGCAUCAAUUCAGGGGGGACAAAUCAUCAGCAGGUGAUUGAAUCAGGAUUAGGCUGCUUCCCAUUCAUUGUUGAGUCUCUGGCGAUGGGCAGGCUCUUGGCGCAAAACAGGAGCCCAUUUGUGCUUUUAUCAUACAUUAGUUUUUAUUGUGAAGCCUAAGUAAAAUUCUGUUUGAGACGAGGUUUGUACAGUACCAUGGCUGUGAGUGGCAGUGGGGAGAGCGCUAGACGGAAGUCACUGUGGCCAGCUGUGUGACCCCAGGCAAGUCACCUCCCUUCUCUCAGUCUCUUCUCCUUCAUCUGUCAAAUACUGGGUUUGGCAAUGAAUCAGCACAGUAGCUUCAACUGAGAAAGUCAGUGACCUUGUAAGAAUUGCCUGCUGUGUUAAGCAAAUGAGAAGCGUCAAAUGUCCCCCAACAUCCAGUACCCACAGCAGUCAGAGCAUGUUACCCAUGAUUCAAUGCCCCCUGAGAAGCCAUACAUGAGCUUGCUAUGGGGAUGGGCUGGGAAAAAGAGGAUGGGGAGGGGAUCUAUAUGCAAAGGGUUGACUGGGAAUUAUACGCAAAGAAGGAAAUGAGACCACCUGUAAUUGCCUGUUUUUGAGCUGCAGACUGUAUCAAAUGCUGUUUUUAAAUUGGUGCAAUGCCUGGCUCUUAGCACUGCACCCCACCUGUUUUGUCUGUUUCUAUACCAUGCAAGUGAUGGUGAUGUUUGAGGACUUUCCUUUCAGGUCGUGCCAUCAAAGAGGGCAAUGAAAAGCGACCCAGCAAAGUCAAGGCAUAUUUAAAAGAAAGAGGGAAAAAGCCCAUAUACAUUUCAAUGGAAGUACUUUAAGGCACUUCAAGUAGGAGUCUGAGAAAUAAUUACAGAGUUUAAGAAGAAAGAAUCUUAACUUUGAUCUGAUUUUCUUCUGUAAAGCAAUUAGGUGCAUCAUUUUUCAAGUGCUAAACUGAAAAUUCUAAUGGCUGGACCCAAACGCUUUCAUUUGUGCCUUGGGACUUCUAUAAUUCCCCCCCAAAACUUAAAAAAGUUAUUAAGGUGAUUUUCCAGAGGGAUUAAUACAUAAAGCAUUUGCUGAUCAGCUCUCAUAAAAACUACAGCAGCAUAGAAUAACUAGAUUCAAAUCAUGCAAGAGUCUAGUUAAUAGCACCAAACUAAGAAAUCUGUAAAGUUGAUUUGAUGGAGAUAAACUGUCAAGGUACAAAUGGAAUUUUCCCUUCCAAUUGCUGUUGGGGGUUUUAAUGGGACUGUGCGUGACGUGGACUUUAAUAUUCAUGGGAGUAGUCCUGAAAUUAAAAGAGAGCUUCAAAGCAGAACAUAGGGACAAACUAACUUACCUGAAGGAUAACAAAGGAGCUAUGUACAAAAAGGAAUGUGAUAGACUGAGCCCCAAUGUUAGGUUGCUUUUCCUCUUAAGAUUUUAAACCCCAAGUCCUUCAUGGUUCAUAUACAUAAAAGCUAGACUGUCAAUUCCUUGAUGGCAGAUACUAGGUGCUACUUUCUUUUUGCUUUCCCAGUGCCCCGCAUGUAGUUCUUAGCACAUAAUAUAUUUCCAUUAAAUGUUUGUGAAAUAGUGGAAUAAAAAUACUUUGUUAAUUUAAAAAAUGUGUGGCAUAUCUUCUCCCCAGUAACUAGAUGGAUUGACCACUUGUGCACCAACUAGGAAGUAGAGCAGAGGUGGCCUACAGGCUAAAUUUGGCCAGUGCUUUUCUAACCUUUAGAAACUGAGAAACUUCAACUUCACACAACAGUAUGGAUUUCUGGAUUCUUUUGAAAAAUCUAAAGAUGUGGGACCGUUUGGGCCACAGCUGGUGACAAUUAGCUGGGGCCCAGGAGCAGCUGCCCCCAUUAUACAGUGUCCCUUCCAAGUUGCCACUAUUCCCUAGCAUAUGACUCCAGGCCAAUUUCACUGUUUUAUUUACCAGCCUGGUCCACAGGACAGGCUCUCAGAUCAGGAGAGAAUAUCUGGUCUGCAUUAUAUCAGUGCUAAUUUUGAAUUGAGUUAAAGAUCUGAGUGCGAGCUUAACUGUUUUCUCCAGGUCCAUGAAAAGAGAAGGCAAGAUUCUAAGUACUAGGCUUCGAGGGGUCAUCUUUAGUAUGUACAUUCCUAUGACUCCUCUGUGCUCCAGGGAGAAUAGAGCAGGCUUGGAGCUUGGAAUAAUCCAAAUGAUAUUGAGUAGGAGCCCAUCAGGGACUUGUUCAAGUUUGUCAGAGCAUAUUAAAAUACCAUACCCUCACAUCAUCAAAAAGGGUACAGCAGUCCAUCUGUCUAUACCUUUCUUUCUCAUGUUACAUUUGUACAGGAAUUUUUCAAAAUUAAGUCACCUACCAUAUUCUCUUAUAGUGAAUCAAAAUGGGGAAAGAAUGGAGAGCAAGCCAGAAUAAUGCACAUUGGUGAAAGUCCAAUAAUUGAAAUAAUUAUUGCUUAAGAUACCAUUGCUUUAAUCAGCCCAUCAUAAAUCAAUGCUUUUCACAAAUGAAGGUUUAAAAUAAAGUGCUGUUAAAUAAAUCGGGCCUCUUAAAAGGCAUGAUGCAAUCGGGAAGCUCUGGAAAAUGGCUAAAAAAGUGGUUUCUGAAUGGAUCCACUGGUUCUAGCGUUUUAUCUUCCACUUAAUUAAAAAAAUAUAUAUAUUACCUGGUCCUUUCUUAGAAAUUACAUAUUGGAGGUCUAUAAUGGCCAAGUCUUUAACCCAUUAAAAAAAUUUACUCCCAGGAACAGUUCAUAUUUGACGUUUAAUUGCUUUUUCUUGUUAGAAAGGAAAAUCUGUUUCUUUCCUUCCUUUCUUGAUUGACUUUUCAAAACUCACCUUGUGAGCUAUAAAAACGGAGAGGUGUAAUUGAUUUUCAAAAACUCAAGUGCACGCACACAUAUUCACAUAUGCGUGUGUGUGCGCUCAUGUGUGUAGACAUAAAAAUCUCCCCGGGGACUUCCCUGGUGGCGCAGUGGUUGAGAGUCCGCCUGCCGAUGCAGGGGACACGGGUUCGUGCCCCGGUCCGGGAAGAUCCCACAUGCCGCGGAGCGGCUGGGCCCGUGAGCCAUGGCCGCUGCCUGUGCGUCUGGAGCCUGUGCUCCGCAACGGGAGAGGCCACAACAGUGAAUCUCCGCUGUACUGGGAACUGGCGCUUUCCUCACAUAACUCUGCAAGGCAGGUGUUACUAUCUCCAUUUAACAGAGUAGCAGCAAAGGCCCAGAGAGGUUCAUUGCUUGAUUAGGGUCACACAGGUAAUAGCGAUAGGAGGCUGAGUCUUUAUCCCUUCUACCCUGUUGCCUGCUUUUAGGUGUGCUUCACACCCACGUGUGCAGACAUCCAUGGAGCCAGGAUAAAAUGUCAUGCCAAUGGUCUCCAUCUUUGGAGUCACUAAUCAUUUUAGCCUAUUUAACCAACACCAGAUUCUGGAAUUUAAUAAAUAAUGCUACACCAUCCAUAAAUGUCGAAAGAGCCCAACUGUGAUUUGCGCCUUAUGUGAAUACUGCAUUGUAACUGAGCCAGGAGAAGCCGUUGAACUAGCCUUCUAAGUGACAGCAUCUUAAAAGAGAUUUCUCAUCGGACAGUUUGGUGUGGAGGGUGGUCAGAUGCUUUCUUAUUAGAACAAUGCCCACAUAGAUUUCAAAUGAAAUUCUGGGGCUCCUCAAGAUUUGUUUAAAGAGAAAGAGGGGGUCAGCAGGACAUUAAUGUAGAAAGGGAAGAAAAAGCUUCUACUUGGUCACCUCGAGUUAGAAAAUUUCCAUUUCAACAUUGUCAAUCCCUCACCUCUCACGUGUAUAAAUUCACUACCAAAGGCCAAAGUAUUCUCUUUCUUUUCUUUCCUUUUUUUUUUCUCUCUUGCCACAAAACCAGCUCUUAUUUAUGUCUCUUGCAAAGCGGCACAAACCAACUGUUCCUCCUCAGAUUAUCCCUUUCAGGGCUCAGGUGAUAUGCCUCCUUGGGUUAUACCUUCCCUGUUUUGUGGUCUGAUGUGUGCUGUGUCAUUCUAUAGUAUUCCACUUUGCAAGAAAAUAUUUAUGUAUGAGUCUCAUUAGGUCCCAUUUCCUCUGGGAAUGGUCCUGCGUGCAGUGUUUUCAUGCCCGCGGCAGGCAGUGAAUCGCUGGUCUUCAUGGGACAACUGGACAGCUGACAGGAAACCAGGAAACUUCUCCUUCCCUUCUGUGACUUCGCUCAGCCAGAAAACUACAAGGUGUGUGACUGUAGGAUGAAAAGUUCCUGAGAGGUUGAAUAUAACACUUUGAGAAAACACUUGGACGGAAACUUGCUGAUGUUGAAGGAAUGGAAAUGUGUACCAUUCAAAGAAUGUUUUUUUCCUAGAUCUGGAAACACAAUGGCUUACGUAUACAGAGUCUUUUCAUUAUUUUAAUUUUUUUUCUUUUUAUUACUGGUAAAUAGGAAUUCCCAUUAUUCACCAAAGAGCAGCGAAACUGACACUCUGUAUAGCUGAGAUGAGGGUACGUUGGCAAAACCCUUUUGGAAACUCAUUUGACCAUGUGUAUCAAGAGCCAUGAGAUUUUUUUAUAACCCAUGACCAAUUAAUUUUUACUUCUAGGAAUCCAUUCUCAGUACCAAAAAGAUUAUGCUCGAAAAUGUUCAUCAAACUCUUGCUUAUAAUAGUUAGAACAGGAAAUGGAAGUAUAAAAUAUUUUCUUGAUAUUCAUUGUUAUGCAGCUGCUGUAAUAAUAUUGAAAUAGGAUAUGCACUCUUAAUGAUUACAAAUACACAGGCAAAAUAUGCAGAAUUAUAAUAAUAGAUAAAAUUUAUUCUCUGCUUAAUAUAUAAAAGGCAAUGUGUCAAAUGCUUUAUAGUCAUGUCUCCUUUAAUCUGCUCACCAGAUUAAGCCAAAUUUAUUAUAUCUCCAUUUUACAGAUGAGGAAAGAGAGUCACAGGAAUUGGUUUAUCUAGAGUAACACUGCUAGGGUGAAAUUUGAACCCCAUCCUGGUUGAUGACAGACCUUACACAACAUGCAAUUCCUCAUGCUAUGUGGUUAAUUUUGAGUAAAAAAAACAAUCAUCAACCACAAAAGAAGAAAGAAAGAAAGAAAAAAGCACCCCAAACUAAAGGCAACCCAACACCAAUAAACAAACAUCUGACAAGCUCUAUUCUUAUGAUAAUCACAUGAAAAAGUAAAUAGGAAAGCUUAAACCAAGAGAAAACAGCCAAACUUGAAAAGACUCAUCUUUCACCAGUUAAUAAAAUGACAGGUAGCUAUCUGAAACAACACUUAAAUGUUUAAGGUCUUUCCUCUGGAUGGGAAUUAGAUCCUACAUUUUUUUUUUUUUUAACAUCUUUGUUGGAGUAUAAUUGCUUUACAAUGGUGUGUUAGUUUCUGCUGUAUAACAAAGUGAAUCAGCUAUUCCUAUACAUAUAUCCCCAUAUCCCCUUGACAUGUCUGAUCUUUUACUAAGAGAAUCUAAAUAAUAUUAUUCUGCCAACUUAAAGAAGCAAAUCUUAAUGAGAGCAAUUCUUGUAUGCAGAUGGAAAAGACUCUGUCCAGGGUGAAUUGGGAAUUUUCUGGUGGACUGGGUCCUAGACCAGUGGUUCUUAACUUACUUUGUGUGAGAACAUAUUUGAAAAUACUAAUGAUAACUAUGGUCUGUCUCUGUUUUUCUCUCUCCAGUCAUUUCUCAGUAUCCAUCUGGGAUUGCUUCCUGGACCUCCGAGGAUACCAAAAUCCACAGAUGCUCAAGUCCCUUGUAUAAAUGAUGUAGUACAAUUGGCCUUCCCUAGUGGCAGGUUCCGAAUCCACAGAUUCAUCCAACUGCGGAUCAAAUUUUGGUUGGGUGAACAUUCAGAUGUGGAAUCCGCAGUUAACAAGAGCCCAUCGUAUUAAUAUUUAUACAACAUUUUAUUGCAUAUCUAUCUACUUUUAUUCUACUUUGAAAUCUUUUGGGUUCAUUGAUGGCUUGAGGACUUAAAUUAAAAUUCCCUUUUAUGUUUUGGCUUUCAUAGUGUUCUUUGUCCCACAAUUUGGGGGGAUAUUCUUUCCUAAAUCGUUCAAACACUGAUACAGUUUCCUCAGAGUCUUAUCUACACUUGGAUAACUAAGGUUUGUAAAGUAAGUUAGUAUAAUGAAUAAUUUAGUUUUCAUGUUUUCUUUAAUAUGUUCACAUGUUAUUAUGGCCACUUGUAUUCCGAUGUGUGGCUAACAACUGCCUUUUUGGUUUUCCGUGUUAGGAUGAAGAAAAAAAAGGAGGAUAUGCAUCACUAAGAAUCAAAGGAAGUGCCUGACUCUAUAACAAAGGGAAAAGCUUCAAAAUGAUUGUACAAAACGAAGACAGAAAUAACCAUGUUAAGAGGUCAUCGAUCUGACUUCUCCAGAAACUUCCCCUGGGCAGCGGUCUCUACCUCUGUUACAGAAGACUGCAAAAAUACCAGCCAUUGUGCAUCUGGCCAAUUAUGCAAUGUUCUAUCACGGGGGGAAAUUCCUUCCUCACUCCAGCUGGUAACUCCAUGGAGCUGUCAGGCGUUUUACACCUUAAUGUGAAGACAUAUGGGUGCAUGGGUCCCUGCCCUCACCCGGACUGGCCCCCAGGGAAAGUGAGGCUCCAGAUGCAGCUGCUGCCUGCGGACCCCCUGUACUGCCUGGGGAAGUGAGUCAGGACUCCUGCAGCGGAUGGGUGGGGCAGCUGCAAGAUGAUCUGAAGGUGGCCCAAACAACAGUGCUUUCCAGAUGUGGGUGAGGCUAUAGCCAAGAUCAUCACUGGGUUAAUCUGCCUAACUGAAGACUUUUACUGAAGAAAGUUUAGCUAACAACAUAUAAGUAUUCAUGUCUGAAGGACCCAGAGAAAGAUAUAUUUUUGUUUCUCAAGAGGCGCAGCCCGUCUUUUUCUCCUGUAGAAGUGAAGGAAGCACCAGUUACCCUUCUGAUUUUAAUCAGAAAAUAUAAAUGUAAAAUAUGAAUUCGAUAAAAAUGUAAGCUUGGCUUUUACUAUUUCCUGAACGUGUGCUCAUUAUCUUUUAAUAAAUAAAGUGUACUUUAAGGGUGAUAAGAAGAAGGAGAACUUUAAAAAUUGUUAAUGAAUGUGGUUAACAUAUGUAGUGAAGCAAAGGCGUAGUUUAAGAUAAAUCCCAGUAAUACCAGGAAGAAAAUACAGUCAGUGGUUAAGGAAUCUGCGUUUGUGGUUGUUUUAAAGGUGGCUGAGUGUGCCGUACUCUGCAGAAGUGACUAGAAGGAGACAGAGGACUGUGACAUGGGUCACUUUUGUUUCUCUUUGAGCUCCAAGCUUAGAAGGUUGAUUUUGCCUUCAACAUAUUGGAAUAGUGGUUCUUGAUUCAUCCUAAUGAUUAGAAGAAUUUUAAUGUAUUUUUCUGUAUAUCCAAACACUAAAAAAACAAUAUUAGACAGCUAGUCCUUGCCACCCAGAUGUUCAGUUCAAAGCAAAUAACAACAUGACAGGCCAGAGGCAACUGAGCCAUCUAUCAAACAAAUGCAUGGCCUGAUGAGACAGCAGAUUAAAAGGCUUAACUGAGGCUAGUUUCAGCUGGUGGAGAUAAGUGCCCAACUGUGUUUUCCUCCAAAAUGCAGUUUUUUUCUAUUGUUUUUGAUACUAUAAAAGCAAUGUAUACUCAUUACAGAGAAAAAUUAGAGUAUACAAAGCAAAACUAAGAGCACCCCCAAAAUGAAUUUUCCCUUUCAUCACAAAUCAGCCAUUGUGAUUGCACUGCUAUAUAUUCUUGUAAGUAAAUAAAAUUGCAUCUUAUUCUACAUAAUAUGUUGUAACCAGCUUUUUCCAUUUAAUGUAGCAUCAAAUACAUCCUUAUCACUAGACUUAUUUCCUUAGAAUCAUUUUUAUGGCUUCAAGUUAUUCCAUUUCUGGAUUUGCUAAUGCAUAUUUAAACAAUUUGCAUUUAUGACACGAUCUGGUGGUUUCUAACUUUCUCUAUUUGAAGAUAUUGCUUUAAAAUAUGUAGAGUAAGAUGUUGAUUGGUGUAAUCAUCUCAAAGGUUUAUGUGCUAGAAUAAGAAACUAUUGUUUGUCAAGAAAGCAUAUUACAUGCUGCAAAUCAGUUCAUCACCUUAAAAAAAUUAAAACAUAUGGAAAACUGAGAAUAAGAUAUAAACAUCAAGUUAGCUUGACUCUUUAUUUUAAAAAUUUGGAUGUUAUGUUUUAUAAACAAACCAGUCCAGUGUUUGAGAGUGAUGGUA